rnacentral:rRNA from 1 species
GAUGAACGCUGGCGGCGUGCCUAAUACAUGCAAGUCGAGCGAACAGACGAGGAGCUUGCUCCUCUGACGUUAGCGGCGGACGGGUGAGUAACACGUGGAUAACCUACUUAUAAGACUUGGAUAACUUCGGGAAACCGGAGCUAAUACCGGAUAACAUGUUGAACCGCAUGGUUCAACAGUGAAAGACGGUCUUGCUGUCACUUAUAGAUGGAUCCGCGCCGCAUUAGCUAGUUGGUAAGGUAACGGCUUACCAAGGCAACGAUGCGUAGCCGACCUGAGAGGGUGAUCGGCCACACCGGAACUGAUAAACGGUCCAGACUCCUACUGGAGGCAGCAGUAGGGAAUCUUCCGCAAUGGGCGAAAGCCUGACGGAGCAACGCCGCGUGAGUGAAGAAGGUCUUCGGAUCGUAAAACUCUGUUAUUAGGGAAGAACAAAUGUGUAAGUAACUAUGCACGUCUUGACGGUACCUAAUCAGAAAGCCACGGCUAACUACGUG